rnacentral:rRNA from 1 species
CCUACGGGAGGCUGCAGUGAGGAAUAUUGGUCAAUGGACGGAAGUCUGAACCAGCCAAGCCGCGUGCAGGAAGAAGGCUCUAUGUUUUGUAAACUUCUUUUGUACAAGGGUAAACCUGAAUACGUGUAUUCAGCUGAAUGUACUGUACGAAUAAGCAUCGGCUAACUCCGUGCCAGCAGCCGCGGUAAUACGGAGGAUCCACGCGUUAUCCGGAUUUAUUGGGUUUAAAGGGUGCGUAGGCGGAUUGAUAAGUUAGAGGUGAAAUGUCCGAGCUUAACUCGGGAACUGCCUUUAAUACUGGUGAUCUAGAGAGUGUAUGCGGUAGGCGGAAUGUGUGGUGUAGCGGUGAAAUGCUUAGAGAUCAUGCAGAACACCGAUUGCGAAGGCAGCUUACCAAGCCAUAACUGACGUUGAGGCACGAAAGCGUGGGGAGCAAACAGGAUUAGAUACCCGUGUAGUC